rnacentral:rRNA from 1 species
CCUAGGGUGGCAGCAGUGGGGAAUAUUGGACAAUGGGGGGAACCCUGAUCCAGCCAUGCCGCGUGUGUGAAGAAGGCCCUCGGGUUGUAAAGCACUUUCAGUGAGGAAGAACGCCUGGUGGUUAAUACCCAUCAGGAAAGACAUCACUCACAGAAGAAGCACCGGCUAACUCCGUGCCAGCAGCCGCGGUAAUACGGAGGGUGCGAGCGUUAAUCGGAAUUACUGUGCGUAAAGCGCGCGUAGGUGGCUUGAUAAGCCGGUUGUGAAAGCCCCGGGCUCAACCUGGGAACGGCAUCCGGAACUGUCAAGCUAGAGUGCAGGAGAGGAAGGUAGAAUUCCCGGUGUAGCGGUGAAAUGCGUAGAGAUCGGGAGGAAUACCAGUGGCGAAGGCGGCCUUCUGGACUGACACUGACACUGAGGUGCGAAAGCGUGGGUAGCAAACAGGAUUAGAUACCCGAGUAGUC